ACAGAUAUGCGAACAAUAAAUGCAAACAAUAAAUAACAUGAAUGCAAUAAAUAACAGCACAAAGCAACCAAAAUCCCUAACCUAGAGGGCGCUAGGAGAGACUCGCUCAGGGAAGAUGGACCAGCACAGGUCAACUUCUCUAUAGUCCCCAGCAGAGUCGCCAGCUGUCGCAUUACGCGAAAAACCGGCGGGAAAAAAGAAACAACAGAG
rnacentral:lncRNA from 1 species